UUCCAUAAUAAAGGCCGUUAUUUAAAAGGCGAUCUGCCGUGCCACAGUAGCAUAGCUUGUGAGAAGAUUCAUUUGUGGCAAGUUUCCAGCGAUAAUGACGAAGUUAAUUCUUGUGGUGUUUUUGACUGUCCUGUCCAUAGCGGUCAUUGCGGCUGAAGACUGUCCCCCCAACUGUAGCCAGAGCCAGUGCACCUUCAUGGGAUGUCAAAACUGUGACGUGGGCUACUGCGCCAACCAGGAGGGCCUAAAAUUCGAAUGCGUGCAAAAGUGCCCGGCUGGAAAGUACUGUCAACAUACCUACCGUUUUUGUGUCUAAGUCAAACAACGGGGUGAUGGAAGUGAAGAAAGAAAAAGGAACAUCUUCCUGGGCUUCUGGCAUUGGUUACUCUUUGUAAUAAGUAUUCAAUUAUUGAAUAAAAUAAUUACAUAAAUUCAUGCAUUAAA